GCUAGCACACUGGGAGUGAAGACUUGCUUGCAUGUCUGUGCAGCCUUUGACUAAAUAAACAAGACCCCUGAAGGGUAUCAUUCACUAUAUGCAAGACUCAUUGAACUUAUUGAUAGUCCACAAAGGGAAAUUGACUCACUGAUCUCUCUGCACAGGGCAACCAGGGAGCAUGUGGGGUGAUGCCAGCUGUAAUGUUUUCUAAUCUGGUCUGAGUCUCCAUAUACUACACCAGCAUUGACAUAAGAGGCUGCCCCGGGGGAGAGCACCACCCUGUAACACUUGUGUCUGUGGAAGACGUUGGAUUUACAGCAAUGGACUGUGAUCUAUUUGUGUGGCCAAGAACGCUAGACUGGGAAUCUGGAGAUCAGUCAACAGGAGCAUGAGAACAGACUUCAAGGGAAAAGGAGUGGACCUAGAACUAUAUAUACAUCCUCCUAGGCAUCCAUUUGGCUGGCAAUCUGGAAGAUGUCAGCAUUCAAAGGAUUAGAGCAUCAUUUGAGACUUCUAAUUUAAAAUGUUACCAUGAACUGCAAUGGCUUCACCGGUCAUGGCAUGAAAUAAACUAGAAUGAUCUCAUCCCCUUUAAUGACAGCUCUAUGAAAUUUAAGAUUAAAAGUG